rnacentral:rRNA from 1 species
AUUGAACGCUAGCGGGAUGCCUAACACAUGCAAGUCGAGCGGAGCUGCGAACGGGUGAUUAAUGUAUCGGAAUCUGCCUAGUAGUGGGGGAUAACUACCCGAAAGCGUCGCUAAUACCGCAUACUAUUAGACGAGCCUAAAUCGGAUUAGCUAGUUGGUGGGGUAAAGGCCUACCAAGGCGACGAUCCGUAGCUGGUCUGAGAGGAUGAUCAGUCACACUGGAACUGAGACACGGUCCAGACUCCUACGGGAGGCAGCAGUGGGGAAGAUUGGACAAUGGGGGAAACCCUUAUCCAGCCAUGCCGCGUGUGUGAAGAAGGUCUUCGGAUUGUAAAGCACUUUAAGUAGGGAAGCGGUACCUGCAGAAUAAGCACCGGCUAACUUCGUGCCAGCCGCCGCGGUAAUUC